GACGAACGCUGGCGGCGUGCUUAACACAUGCAAGUCGAACGGUAAGGCCCCAGCUUGCUGGGGUACACGAGUGGCGAACGGGUGAGUAACACGUGGGUGACCUGCCCUGCACUUCGGGAUAAGCCUGGGAAACUGGGUCUAAUACCGGAUAGGACCGCACCGUGAGGGUGUGGUGGAAAGUUUUUCGGUGUGGGAUGGGCCCGCGGCCUAUCAGCUUGUUGGUGGGGUAAUGGCCUACCAAGGCGGCGACGGGUAGCCGGCCUGAGAGGGUGGACGGCCACAUUGGGACUGAGACACGGCCCAGACUCCUACGGGAGGCAGCAGUGGGGAAUAUUGCACAAUGGGCGGAAGCCUGAUGCAGCGACGCCGCGUGGGGGAUGACGGCCUUCGGGUUGUAAACUCCUUUCACCAUCGACGAAGGUUUUCUGACGGUAGAUGGAGAAGAGGCACCGGCUAACUACGUG
rnacentral:rRNA from 1 species